UACAGAGGUCUCAAGCGUUGUUCGGAUUCAUUGGGCGUAAAGGGUGUGUAGGUGGCGCGCUAAGUCGAGUGUGAAAUUUCGGAGCUUAACUCCGAAACUGCAUUCGAUACUGGCGUGCUUGAGGACUGGAGAGGAGACUGGAAUUUACGGUGUAGCAGUGAAAUGCGUAGAUAUCGUAAGGAAGACCAGUGGCGAAGGCGGGUCUCUGGACAGUUCCUGACACUGAGACACGAAGGCCAGGGGAGCAAACGGG
rnacentral:rRNA from 1 species